UGACCUGCGGAAGGAUCAUUGUCGAAACCUGCCCCGCAGAACGACCCGCGAACGAGUUUGAAACACCCCGGGGGGGCGAGGGGUGCCAAAGCCUCGGACCCCCCCUCGCUGGGCGCGCCCCGUGCGCUCCCGGCGCUCACAACGAACCCCGGCGCGAGUCGCGCCAAGGAUCCUUAACGAACGAGCGCGCUCCAGCCGACCCCGGAGACGGCGGUCGGGGGAGCUUGCCUCCGAAUCAAAUAUUAAGUCAAAAACGACUCUCGGCAACGGAUAUCUCGGCUCUCGCAUCGAUGAAGAACGUAGCGAAAUGCGAUACUUGGUGUGAAUUGCAGAAUCCCGUGAACCAUCGAGUCUUUGAACGCAAGUUGCGCCCGAAGCCAUUAGGCCGAGGGCACGUCUGCCUGGGCGUCACACAACGUUGCCCCCCCCAAUCACCGUCCACCUUGUCGUGGCGGCAGAAGAGGAGGGGGCGGAUGAUGGCCUCCCGUGAGCUUCUCGGCCUCGCGGUUGGCCUAAACACGAGUCCUCGGCCGCGGUGGCCGCGACAAUCGGUGGUUGCAAGGCCAUUCGGUGCCCCGUCGCGUGCCGUCGCGCCUCGCGAGACUCCAAGAGACCCCAUCGCGCCUCGGCGCUU
rnacentral:misc_RNA from 1 species